UGGGGAAUAUUGCACAAUGGAGGGAACUCUGAUGCAGCGACGCCGCGUGAACGAAGAAGGCUUUCGAGUCGUAAAGUUCUUUUAUAUGGGAAGAUAAUGACGGUACCAAAAGAAAAAGCCCCGGCUAACUACGUGCCAGCAGCCGCGGUAAUACGUAGGGGGCUAGCGUUGUCCGGAAUCACUGGGCGUAAAGGGUUCGCAGGCGGAAAUGCAAGUCAGGUGUAAAAGGCAGUAGCUUAACUACUGUAAGCAUUUGAAACUGCAUAUCUUGAGAAGAGUAGAGGUAAGUGGAAUUUUUAGUGUAGCGGUGAAAUGCGUAGAUAUUAAAAAGAAUACCGGUGGCGAAGGCGACUUACUGGGCUCAUUCUGACGCUGAGGAACGAAAGCGUGGGUAGCAAACAGG
rnacentral:rRNA from 1 species